rnacentral:rRNA from 2 species
GGCCUGAGAGGGUGGCCGGCCACAGGGGCACUGAGACACGGGUCCCACUCCUACGGGAGGCAGCAGUUAGGAAUCUUCCACAAUGGGCGAAAGCCUGAUGGAGCGACGCCGCGUGAGGGAUGAAGGUCUUCGGAUCGUAAACCUCUGAAUCAGGGACGAAAGACACUUCGUGUGGGAUGACGGUACCUGAGUAAUAGCACCGGCUAACUCCGUGCCAGCAGCCGCGGUAAUACGGAGGGUGCAAGCGUUACCCGGAAUCACUGGGCGUAAAGGGCGUGUAGGCGGACACUUAAGUCUGGUUUUAAAGACUGCGGCUCAACCGCAGGGAUGGACUGGAUACUGGGUGUCUUGACC